rnacentral:ncRNA from 2 species
UAAAUUCAUACAGAGGCUGCCUAUAUAAUGUCAUAAUAAGGUUGACAAGUUUCUACCCAGAGCCGUAAAUUCUGGACUAUAAGCACGAUCAAGUGGCGU